rnacentral:rRNA from 1 species
GACGAACGCUGGCGGCGUGCCUAAUACAUGCAAGUCGAGCGAGCUUGCCUAGAUGAUUUUAGUGCUUGCACUAAAUGAAACUAGAUACAAGCGAGCGGCGGACGGGUGAGUAACACGUGGGUAACCUGCCCAAGAGACUGGGAUAACACCUGGAAACAGAUGCUAAUACCGGAUAACAACACUAGACGCAUGUCUAGAGUUUGAAAGAUGGUUCUGCUAUCACUCUUGGAUGGACCUGCGGUGCAUUAGCUAGUUGGUAAGGUAAUGGCUUACCAAGGCGAUGAUGCAUAGCCGAGUUGAGAGACUGAUCGGCCACAUUGGGACUGAGACACGGCCCAAACUCCUACGGGAGGCAGCAGUAGGGAAUCUUCCACAAUGGACGAAAGUCUGAUGGAGCAACGCCGCGUGAGUGAAGAAGGGUUUCGGCUCGUAAAGCUCUGUUGGUAGUGAAGAAAGAUAGAGGUAGUAACUGGCCUUUAUUUGACGGUAAUUACUUAGAAAGUCACGGCUAACUACGUGCCAGCAGCCGCGGUAAUACGUAGGUGGCAAGCGUUGUCCGGAUUUAUUGGGCGUAAAGCGAGUGCAGGCGGUUCAAUAAGUCUGAUGUGAAAGCCUUCGGCUCAACCGGAGAAUUGCAUCAGAAACUGUUGAACUUGAGUGCAGAAGAGGAGAGUGGAACUCCAUGUGUAGCGGUGGAAUGCGUAGAUAUAUGGAAGAACACCAGUGGCGAAGGCGGCUCUCUGGUCUGCAACUGACGCUGAGGCUCGAAAGC